rnacentral:tRNA from 1 species
GGUGGCUCAGUGGUAGAGUGCUUGCCUCGCACGCAUGAGGCCCUGGGUUUGAUUCCUCAGUACCA